rnacentral:hammerhead_ribozyme from 1 species
AUCCAACUAACGAGCCCCAAAUAGGACGAAACGCGCGUCCUGGAU